rnacentral:rRNA from 1 species
CCCUUAGAUGUCCUGGGCCGCGCGCGCGUUACACUGAUGCAUUCAACGAGCUUAUAACCUCGGCCGAGAGGCCUGGGCAAUCUUGUUAACGUGCAUCGUGAUAGGGAUAGAUUAUUGAAAUUAUUAAUCUUGAACGAGGAAUUCCUAGUAAACGCAGAUCAUCAAUCUGCAUUGAUUACGUCCCUGCCCUUUGUACACACCGCCCGUCGCACCUACCGAUUGGAUGGUCCGGUGAAGCCUCGGGAUUGUGGUUCUUGCCGCUUUAUUGUGGCGUGACCGCGAGAACUUGUCUAAACCUUAUCAUCUAGAGGAAGGUGAAGUCGUAACA